ACUAUUGUGUACAUGUGGUGGAGCAUAAUGACAUAGUAAUAGGGUUUCUUAAAAGUUCAAAUGUCAGUCAACCGUUUAAACCUGGCCAGCACACAUUUUCAUAAUGACAUCAUCCAUUUAUUACAAAAAGCAUUUUGCACCAAUUUACAUACAAAACAAAAACA